CUCCCCGAGCACGAUGCCGCGCAGGAAUGUGAAAGGCUCCCGCCCGCCGCCAUUUUCUUUCUUUCUUGGCAGGCAGCGAGUGGGGCAGGAAGCAGUGGCUGAGCGAGUAUGGCGGACUAUUCCACGGUGCCCCCUCCUGCUUCGGGCGCGCCCGGGGGAGGCGGCGGUGGAGGUGGAGGAGUAAACGAUGCCUUUAAAGACGCGCUGCAAAGGGCUAGGCAGAUUGCAGCAAAAAUUGGAGGAGAUGCUGGCACAUCAAUGAAUUCAAACGACUACGGUUAUGGAGGACAAAAAAGACCUCUUGAGGAUGGAGAUGACUCUUGGACAAGUCCGAGCAGUACAACACACUGGGAGGGAAUGCCCUCUCCUUUUAAAGAUCAACCAGAUGCUAAGAAAGUUGCUCCUCAGAACGACUCUUUCGGAAAUCAGCUACCACCACCACCAAUGCAUCAACAACAAAGGUCUGUGAUGACAGAGGAAUACAAAGUUCCAGAUGGGAUGGUUGGAUUCAUAAUUGGCAGAGGUGGAGAGCAGAUCUCACGUAUACAGCAAGAGUCUGGCUGUAAAAUACAGAUUGCACCUGAUAGUGGAGGCCUGCCUGAAAGGUCAUGUAUGCUAACUGGAACACCAGAGUCUGUUCAAUCAGCAAAAAGAUUACUUGAUCAAAUAGUUGAAAAGGGAAGACCUACACCUGGCUUUCAUCAUGGUGAUGGGCCUGGAAAUGCAGUCCAAGAAAUCAUGAUUCCAGCAAGUAAAGCAGGAUUAGUUAUUGGAAAAGGUGGAGAGACGAUUAAACAGUUACAGGAGCGGGCAGGUGUCAAAAUGGUCAUGAUUCAAGAUGGUCCACAGAACACUGGUGCAGACAAGCCCCUUAGGAUAACUGGAGACCCUUAUAAAGUUCAACAAGCCAAGGAAAUGGUGCUGGAGUUAAUUCGUGAUCAAGGUGGCUUUAGAGAGGUGCGCAACGAAUAUGGGUCAAGAAUAGGAGGAAAUGAAGGGAUAGACGUUCCAAUACCACGAUUUGCUGUAGGUAUUGUAAUUGGAAGAAAUGGAGAGAUGAUAAAAAAGAUACAGAAUGAUGCUGGUGUUCGGAUCCAAUUUAAGCCAGAUGAUGGAACAACUCCAGACAGAAUAGCCCAGAUCACAGGGCCACCUGAUAGAUGUCAGCAUGCUGCAGAAAUUAUUACAGAUCUCCUUCGAAGUGUUCAGGCUGGUAACCCUGGUGGACCAGGACCUGGUGGUCGAGGAAGGGGUAGAGGCCAAGGCAACUGGAACAUGGGGCCUCCUGGUGGAUUACAGGAAUUCAAUUUUAUUGUUCCUACUGGCAAAACUGGAUUAAUCAUUGGCAAAGGUGGUGAAACUAUUAAAAGCAUAAGCCAGCAGUCUGGUGCUAGAAUAGAACUUCAGAGAAAUCCUCCACCUAAUGCGGAUCCAAACAUGAAGAUGUUUACUAUCCGUGGAACACCCCAGCAAAUAGAUUAUGCACGACAACUUAUAGAAGAAAAGAUUGGAGGUCCAGUAAAUCCAUUGGGUCCACCUGUUCCCCAUGGACCCCAUGGUGUUGUUCCUGGCCCACAUGGACCUCCUGGGCCACCAGGUCCUGGUGCUCCCAUGGGACCAUAUAACCCAGCUCCUUACAAUCCAGGGCCUCCUGGCCCUGCACCUCAUGGUCCUCCAGCUCCAUAUGCUCCACAAGGUUGGGGAAACGCUUAUCCACACUGGCAGCCACCCAAUCCACCAGAUCCAGGUAAGCCAGGAACAGAUCCCAAUUCAGCAGCAUGGGCAGCUUAUUAUGCUCACUACUAUCAGCAGCAAGCACAACCACCACCUGCAGCCCCUCCUGGUGGACCAGCUACAACCCAAACUAAUGGACAAGGAGAUCAGCCAAAUCCAGCACCAGCAGGGCAGGUUGACUAUACCAAGGCCUGGGAGGAAUACUAUAAAAAAAUGGGUCAAGCGGUUCCUGCCCCUGCUGGGGCUCCGCCGGGUGGUCAGCCAGAUUACAGUGCAGCAUGGGCUGAGUACUACAGGCAACAGGCAGCGUAUUACGCCCAGACAAGUCCACAGGGAAUGCCACAACAUCCUCCAGCACCACAGUGCCUUCCCAGACCUUCCACCUUAGGUUCUGCUGCAAAAAAGCAACAGUGCUGAAGAUGCUGCAAGCACCAAAUCAUAGCUCAUAGAAUCAGGUCCUGAGAUAGUUACUACCAGUAAAGAGGAAUCCUUUGAGUGUAUGCCAUUGGUGAGCCGAUGAGCAUGGACCAUAGAAGGGCUCCAUGUAGAAGACAUUUAAUCAUCACUGAAGAAAGGGAAUUGAUAUACUGGGAUCUCUUCACUGUUGCUUAUCUCCAGUGAACACCUCUCUGCAAACAGAAGCCUGUGGUUUGCAAACUGCAAUCAAAAACAAAAGAACGAACCAUCUUCAGAAGAUACCUCAGGGAACUUUAUUUGUUACUGGAGGAAAUUGCCUGGCGACUGUCAGAAUAUUGAUAAUCCAGAUUUCUGUAACCUGCAAGCAGCCCUGGGACUGGUAUGUGGGGUAGCCAGUCAAGGGAAUUACAGACAUCUUUUAGUGGGCAUUCAUAGGAGAAAGAAAAAAUAACUGAAGGAAAUUAACUGUUGAACUCUUCACAGAAUCCCAGAAUGUCAGGGGUGGGAAGGACCUGGAAAGCUCAUCCAGUGCAAUCCCCCCAUGGAGCAGGAACACCCAGAUGAGGUUACACAGGAAGGUGUCCAGGCGGGUUGGAAUGUCUGCACAGAAGGAGACUCCACAACCUCCCUGGGCAGCCUGGGCCAGGCUCUGCCACCCUCACCGGGAACAAGUUUCUUCUCAAAUUUAAGUGGAACCUCUUGUGUUCCAGCUUGAUCCCAUUACCCCUCGUCCUAUCGUUGUUUGUCACCAAGAAGAGCCUGGCUCCAUCCUCCUGACACUCACCCUUUAUAUAUCUGUAAACAUGAAUGAGUCACCCCUCAGUGUCCUCUUGUCCAGCUCCAGAGCCCCAGCUCCCUCAGCCUUUCCUCACACGGGAGAUGCUCCACUCCCUUCAGCAUCUUGGUGGCUGCGCUGGACUCUCUCCAGCAGUUCCCUGUCCUGCUGGAACUGAGGGGCCACAACUGGACACAAUAUUCCAGGUGUGGUCUCCCCAGGGCAGAGCAGAGGGGCAGGAGAACCUCUCUGACCUACUGACCACCCCCUUCUAACCCACCCCAGGUACCAUUGGCCUUCCUGGCCACAAGGGCCCAGUGCUGGCUCAUGGUCACCCUGCUGUCCCCAGGACCCCCAGGUCCCUUUCCCCUACGCUGCUCUCUAAUAGGUCAUUCCCCAACUUAUACUGGAACCUGGGGUUGUUCCUGCCCAGAUUCAAGACUCUACACUUGCCCUUGUUAUAUUUCAUUAAACUUUUCCCUGCCCAACUCUUCCUUUUAGAAAACUUCUGAAUAUUUUGACAAACACGGAUAUCAGGUAAAACCGUGUAUCAGAAAAUUUCUUUUGAAAUAGAGAAUUUGGUAAUUACUUUAUAUUGCUUGGCUAAUAAAUGCAUAUACGUAAGGGUGGGAGGUGUGAACAAAACUUCAGUUAGAAUGACUAGUGACUCCAUGAAGUUCUCUCUCCUUCAUUUUCCUCCCUCUUCUCCUUCACUAGUGUCCCUUGCCCACCCCCAAAUAAUAAGAAAAAAGUGCAUUAUUGCCAUAAUGUCAAGGUUAUUGGUGCAGAAAGGUUCAGUGAUUUAUUGGAGUUGCGGGUGGAAGAGUAAACUACAAUCUGAGUAUCUGCCUAAACCCAGAGUUUGGACCACUUGGGAAUUUCAGUGUUUGGGGUUUCUGGAGGUUCUGUGGGGUUUUCAUCCUUGAGAAUAUUAAUUUCUUUAAUGUUUUUGGUCAAUAUAGUGACCUUGAGCUGUUUGUCAAAGCACCUUCAUUCAUAAUUAUACUCUUUUUAAGUCAGAGUUGGCGAAUUCCUAGAAAUAACAUUUUCAAAGAUUUCACGGAUUAUUAAAAUCUCAUUUCUCAUUAGUCUUCUUUGUAUGUAAAUUAACAAAGUCAUAAUGAUCGUGGUUGUACAGGGGAUGGCUAUUUAAAUACAGAACUUAAAAAAUGCUUUUGGAAAUGGAGGGUGGUAAAGCGAGGGAACACAGACCUAAACAAUCUAGUGUAUCUAAGUGCUCGAUUCCUUUAGGAUGGUCAAACUAUAGUGAGGUGUCUGUUUAUAGAUGAUCUAAACAAGUUCAGCUUAUGAUAAAGAAUACAGAUGGAGGCAGUUUUGCAAGUAAUAUAAAACAGGAUUUGUGAGCUACAUUUCUGACCAUUUAGGGCUUAUUCUAGUAAUUCCUACUUUAUUCUUGUUUAUAUCUAUACAUACAAGGGAGCUGACCUUUUUUCCCCUUUCUCCAUAAGAGGAAAGUUGUAAUUGAGGUAUUUAUAAACAAAUAUGAGAAUACAAAUAGCAUUCUCUUACUACAGAAUGUUUUCACCCCAAACUGGCGACUGAAACAUCUGAAGCACUAUUUAAGAACGCACAACUUCUUCUCUUCCUGAGGAUUUACAGCUUAAGGUGCCACUACGUGUAGAUCUAAAACCUGCCCAGAUUGCUGGCAGAUGUAAACCACACAUAGCUUCUGGUUUUCCGAGAGGAGUAUCUAAAGCAUCUAAACCAUCUAAACCAGUGUGGUUACUGAGGUACAACUAAGGUCAAAAAUACGUCUUUCAAAAACGAACAGUGAUACAGUUUUGAGAUUCUCUACAGCUUGAAACAGAGUUAAGGGACAAGACAAAAAGAAGAAGAGGAUACAGGAAAGAAUGUAAAAGCACAUCCUAUGUGAAAAUUCUGUAACACCAUGAACAACGCAUGGAUUUACCAUUUGCUGUCUCGCUUCUUCAAAGGCACGUUUUUCCUCUUCUAAACGUUGUCUUGCUUCUUCCUCUGCUUGUCGCCUUUGGUUUUCCUGUCUUUGUCUUUCGAGUUCUUCAAAUGUUACCUUCAGCUUACCAGGAGACAGAGGCUCUUGAGUUUCACUGUCUUCAUUUUCACCCUGUGUAAGAAAAAUGCAAUAGUUAUACCUUAAAUAAUAGAUAUUUAUUUCUCAGGUAUUUUUAGGUGAGUGGUUUACCAUGACAAAUGAACGGCACUUGGUUUCCUUGAGGAAUUGGUUUUGUUCCUCAUAUUUUAGCUUCAUUUCUUCAUCCUGUCUCGCUCUUUGUUCUGCUCUCUCCUUGCCCGUGUUCCCCAAGUUUAUGUUCAUCUUCCCAGGGGUUUUGGUGUGUUUUACAGGCACUACUGUAACUAGCAGUGAAUCAUCCCCUUCCUGUCCAAAAAGAUAUUUAUUAUAUUUUUAUAAAGCUUGACGUCUAGAUAGACUCACUUUUAAUAAAACUGGUUUUACCUGUGUGCACAAAA